rnacentral:rRNA from 1 species
GACGAACGCUGGCGGCGUGCUUAACACAUGCAAGUCGAACGGAAAGGCCCUGCUUUUGUGGGGUGCUCGAGUGGCGAACGGGUGAGUAACACGUGAGUAACCUGCCCUUGACUUUGGGAUAACUUCAGGAAACUGGGGCUAAUACCGGAUAGGAGCUCCUGCUGCAUGGUGGGGGUUGGAAAGUUUCGGCGGUUGGGGAUGGACUCGCGGCUUAUCAGCUUGUUGGUGGGUAGUGGCUUACCAAGGCUUUGGCGGGUAGCCGGCCUGAGAGGGCGACCGGCCACAUUGGGACUGAGAUACGGCCCAGACUCCUACGGGAGGCAGCAGUGGGGAAUAUUGCACAAUGGGCGGAAGCCUGAUGCAGCAACGCCGCGUGCGGGAUGACGGCCUUCGGGUUGUAAACCGCUUUCGCCUGUGACGAAGCGUGAGUGACGGUAAUGGGUAAAGAAGCACCGGCUAACUACGUG